ensembl:miRNA xtr-mir-427-1 xtr-mir-427-2
AGCACCCAAAACGGGGCUCUCUCUUGUGUAUGAAUUAUGGUGAGAAAGUGCUUUCUGUUUUGGGCGUUGU